UACGUAGGGUGCAAGCGUUAUCCGUAAUUAUUGGGCGUCAAGAGCUCGUAGGCGGUCUGUCGCAUCUGCUGUGAAAACUGGGGGCUCAACCCCCAGCCUGCAGUGGGUACGGGCAGACUAGAGUGCGGUAGGGGAGACUGGAAUUCCUGGUGUAGCGGGGAAAUGCGCAGAUAUCAGGAGGAACACCGGUGGCGAAGGCGGGUCGCUGGGCCGAUACGGACGCUGAGGAGCGAAAGCGUGGGGAGCGAACAGG
rnacentral:rRNA from 1 species